UACAGAGGUGCCAAGCGUUAGGCGGAAUCACUGGGCUUAAAGCGCGUGUAGGUGGGUCGUUAAGUGUCCGCGUGAAAUCCCACGGCUCAACCGUGGAACUGCCGGGCAUACUGGCGAUCUUGAGGCAUUCAGGGGCGAGCGGAACAAAUGGUGGAGCGGUGAAAUGCGUAGAUAUCUGGAGGAACACCGGUGGCGAAGGCGACAUCCUGGACCGGUAUUGACGCUGAGGCGCGAAAGCCAGGGGAGCAAACGGG
rnacentral:rRNA from 1 species